ACUCUUAAGGCUGAGACACGACGUCGAGCUACUACGGUAGUGAAGUCAUUGAUGCCAUGCUUCCAGGAAAAGCCUCUAAGCUUCAGAUUGUAAGGAAUCGUACCCCAAACCGACACAGGUGGUCGGGUAGAGAAUACCAAGGCGCUUGAGAGAACUCGGGUGAAGGAACUAGGCAAAAUGGUACCGUAACUUCGGGAGAAGGUACGCUCUUGAUGGUGAAGUCCCUUGCGGAUGGAGCUGACGAGAGUCGCAGAUACCAGGUGGCUGCAACUGUUUAUUAAAAACACAGCACUGUGCAAAAUCGUAAGAUGACGUAUACGGUGUGACGCCUGCCCGGUGCCGGAAGGUUAAUUGAUGGGGUUAGCGUAAGCGAAGCUCUUGAUCGAAGCCCCGGUAAACGGCGGCCGUAACUAUAACGGUCCUAAGGUAGCGAAAUUCCUUGUCGGGUAAGUUCCGACCUGCACGAAUGGCGUAAUGAUGGCCACGCUGUCUCCACCCGAGACUCAGUGAAAUUGAAAUCGCUGUGAAGAUGCAGUGUACCCGCGGCUAGACGGAAAGACCCCGUGAACCUUUACUACAGCUUGGCACUGAACAUUGAACCUACAUGUGUAGGAUAGGUGGGAGGCUUUGAAGACGUGACGCCAGUUGCGUUGGAGCCGUCCUUGAAAUACCACCCUUGUAUGUUUGAUGUUCUAACGUUGGCCCCUAAUCGGGGUUGCGGACAGUGCCUGGUGGGUAGUUUGACUGGGGCGGUCUCCUCCCAAAGAGUAACGGAGGAGCACGAAGGUGGGCUAAUCACGGUUGGACAUCGUGAGGUUAGUGCAAUGGCAUAAGCCCGCUUAACUGCGAGAAUGACGGUUCGAGCAGGUGCGAAAGCAGGUCAUAGUGAUCCGGUGGUUCUGAAUGGAAGGGCCAUCGCUCAACGGAUAAAAGGUACUCCGGGGAUAACAGGCUGAUACCGCCCAAGAGUUCAUAUCGACGGCGGUGUUUGGCACCUCGAUGUCGGCUCAUCACAUCCUGGGGCUGAAGUCGGUCCCAAGGGUAUGGCUGUUCGCCAUUUAAAGUGGUACGCGAGCUGGGUUUAGAACGUCGUGAGACAGUUCGGUCCCUAUCUGCCGUGGGCGUUGGAAGAUUGAAGGGGGCUGCUCCUAGUACGAGAGGACCGGAGUGGACGAACCUCUGGUGUUCGGGUUGUGUCGCCAGACGCAUUGCCCGGUAGCUAAGUUCGGAAUCGAUAACCGCUGAAAGCAUCUAAGCGGGAAGCGAGCCCUGAGAUGAGUCUUCCCUGAUACUUUAAGUAUCCUGAAGGGUUGUUCGAGACUAGAACGUUGAUAGGCAGGGUGUGUAAGCGCUGUGAGGCGUUGAGCUAACCUGUACUAAUUGCCCGUGAGGCUUAACCAU
rnacentral:rRNA from 1 species